rnacentral:rRNA from 1 species
UACAGAGGUCCCGAGCGUUGUUCGGAUUCAUUGGGCGUAAAGGGUGCGUAGGCGGUUUUUUAAGUUUGAUGUGAAAUCCUGGGGCUCAACCCUGGAACUGCAUUGAAUACUGAAGAACUGGAGUACUGGAGAGGAAACUGGAAUUUACGGUGUAGCAGUGAAAUGCGUAGAGAUCGUAAGGAAGACCAGUGGCGAAGGCGAGUUUCUGGACAGUUACUGACGCUGAGGCACGAAGGCCAGGGGAGCAAACGGG